rnacentral:rRNA from 1 species
CGGAGGGUGCAAGCGUUAUCCGGAUUUACUGGGUUUAAAGGGUGUGUAGGCGGGCUAUUAAGUCAGUGGUGAAAUCUCCGGGCUCAACCUGGAAACUGCCAUUGAUACUAUUAGUCUUGAAUUCUGUUGAGGUAGGCGGAAUAAGUCAUGUAGCGGUGAAAUGCAUAGAUAUGACUUAGAACACCAAUUGCGAAGGCAGCUUACUAAGCAGAUAUUGACGCUGAGGCACGAAAGCGUGGGGAUCAAACAGGAUUAGAUACCCUGGUAGUCCACGCCCUAAACGAUGAUUACUCGACAUACGCGAUACACAGUGUGUGUCUGAGCGAAAGCAUUAAGUAAUCCACCUGGGAAGUACGACCGCAAGGUUG